GAUUUCAAUUGAAAAAGUCAUCAACAACAAAGUUGAAUAACUCAUCAAGAUCUAAAACUUUUAUUUUUGUUAUUUCUUCAUCCGACGAAAUGUUAGUAAUAUUAUUCACAAAUUUUACAUAUAUGUGUUAUAGUUUAUAAAACCAGAUAAGAGAUAUGUCAAUUUUGUAAACAAUGUUACUAUCACUUUGUCGUAUGAAGAAAUAAACAAAAUAAAAGUUUUAGAUCUUGAUGAGUUAUUCAACUUUGUUGUUGAUGACUUUUUCAGUUGAUAUC
rnacentral:pre_miRNA from 1 species